GACGAACGCCGGCGGCGUGCUUAACACAUGCAAGUCGAACGGAAAGGCCCUGCUUUUGUGGGGUGCUCGAGUGGCGAACGGGUGAGUAACACGUGAGUAACCUGCCCUUGACUCUGGGAUAACUUCAGGAAACUGGGGCUAAUACCGGAUAGGAGCUCCUGCUGCACGGUGGGGGUUGGAAAGUUUCGGCGGUUGGGGAUGGACUCGCGGCUUAUCAGCUUGUUGGUGGGGUAGUGGCUUACCAAGGCUUUGACGGGUAGCCGGCCUGAGAGGGUGACCGGCCACAUUGGGACUGAGAUACGGCCCAGACUCCUACGGGAGGCAGCAGUGGGGAAUAUUGCACAAUGGGCGGAAGCCUGAUGCAGCAACGCCGCGUGCGGGAUGACGGCCUUCGGGUUGUAAACCGCUUUCGCCUGUGACGAAGCGUGAGUGACGGUAAUGGGUAAAGAAGCACCGGCUAACUACGUG
rnacentral:rRNA from 1 species